rnacentral:rRNA from 1 species
UACGUAGGUGGCAAGCGUUAUCCGGAAUUACUGGGCGUAAAGCGCACGCAGGCGGUCUUUUAAGUUUGACGUGAAAGCUCCCGGCUUAACUGGGAGAGGUCGUUGAAUACUGGAAGACUUGAGGAAAUGAGAGGGGUGUAGAAUUCCUGGUGUAGUGGUGGAAUGCGUGAGAUAUCAGGAGGAAUACCAGUGGCGAAAGCGGCACCCUAGCAUUUUUCUGACGCUCAUGUGCGAAAGCGUGGGGAGCGAACGGG